rnacentral:piRNA from 1 species
UAAAAAAAGUGCUGAAUAAAU